rnacentral:rRNA from 1 species
UACGUAGGGUGCGAGCGUUGUCCGGAAUUAUUGGGCGUAAAGAGCUCGUAGGCGGUCUGUCGCGUCUGCUGUGAAAACCCGGGGCUCACUCCGGCGUGCAGUGGAUACGGGCAGACUAGAGUUCGGUAGGGGAGACGUGGAAUUCCUGGUGUAGCGGUGAAAUGCGCAGAUAUCAGGAGGAACACCGGUGGCGAAGGCGGGUCUCUGGGCCGAUACUGACGCUGAGGAGCGAAAGCGUGGGGAGCAAACAGG